rnacentral:rRNA from 1 species
GUGAACGCUGGCGGUAGGCCUAACACAUGCAAGUCGAACGGCAGCACAGUAAGAGCUUGCUCUUAUGGGUGGCGAGUGGCGGACGGGUGAGGAAUACAUCGGAAUCUACUCUGUCGUGGGGGAUAACGUAGGGGAACUUACGCUAAUACCGCAUACGACCUACGGGUGAAAGCAGGGGAUCUUCGGACCUUGCGCGAUUGAAUGAGCCGAUGUCGGAUUAGCUAGUUGGCGGGGUAAAGGCCCACCAAGGCGACGAUCCGUAGCUGGUCUGAGAGGAUGAUCAGCCACAUUGGAACUGAGACACGGUCCAGACUCCUACGGGAGGCAGCAGUGGGGAAUAUUGGACAAUGGGCGCAAGCCUGAUCCAGCCAUACCGCGUGGGUGAAGAAGGCCUUCGGGUUGUAAAGCCCUUUUGUUGGGAAAGAAAUCCAGCCGGUUAAUACCUGGUUGGGAUGACGGUACCCAAAGAAUAAGCACCGGCUAACUUCGUGCCAGCGGCCGCGGUAAUACGAAGGGUGCAAGCGUUACUCGGAAUUACUGGGCGUAAAGCGUGCGUAGGUGCUCGUUUAAGUCCGUUGUGAAAGCCCUGGGCUCAACCUGGGAACUGCAGUGGAUACUGGGCGACUAGAGUGUGGUAGAGGGGUAGCGGAAUUCCUGGUG